CCCUUUAUGAAAUUUGGACACCACAGCUCUCCAAAUAAAGUAGCCGGCGAUUGUCCCACAUUAAGAUAUAAGAGAGCUCUUGGUGGACUUUUAUGUGCAGGGCCUUGUCCCCACAGAAAUAUAAAAUCACAUUUCAAAGGUUAAGGCAAGACCAGGUAUGUGUACACUUUUAGAGUCACUCAUGGACUAACAUCUACAACCUUUUGAAAAAAAACAA